ACCUGACAAAGGAAAUAGGUAUAAUUUUGAUUCAUUCACACCAGACAGCUAUUGCUGUGUUGGCUGUUGUCACUUUUUUUUAUUUGCCAAUCUAAGGGAAAAGAGGUCAGUGCCCCUGACGAAAUAGUCAGGUACUGCGUGUUUUAUAAAUUCUUGCAGCUCACGGGCAGAAAAUCGCUGCCUCAGGAUGAACUGCAAACUGUUUAACAACAUACACUCU